rnacentral:lncRNA from 1 species
GGGUAGGGGCCCUGUGGGGAAGGGGAGGGCCUAGGGACUCCGGGGGGCCAGACGGGGUGCACCUGCUGCAGCCGGACACUAGGGAUCUGAAAAUCCAUCAAGAUGGAAACCUUCCCCGAGGCUGAGAACAUACGACUUUGAAGGCCACUAUCUACGGAUACGCGCUUCUCCAAACCUUGGAACCCGAGGUCUAGCCUUGGAACAAGUCGCUGCCGCCUCACUGCCUCUUCUCGCCUGGAAAAGUCCCAGCGCCGUGGGAUACUGCAGGGCACAGUGCUAGGUCCUGGGCUCCUUUUGCCAUGGUCCCCAUCACUGUCAGGUUCUUGAGAUUUCAGACUUUGGGUAUGGAAACCAGCUGACCGGUUUUCUUGGCGAGGUGAAUCGGAAACCUGUGGAGACAUUUCUCAAUCGUGAUUCAUCUACGUGCCGAGACCAGGCACAAGCUGUAUGUGGACAGUGGAGGCAGGAGGGACCAGAGAUGAAGGCUAGCCUCAGCUACAUGGUAAAUACUGACAAAAUUUCCCAGAAAGAGGCUGCACUUCAAACGGAACCUUCUGCAACGCUGAUUAACUGACUGUAAUAACCAAUGGUGGUGAAGAGGUUGGAAUGUUGCAAGUUCAGAGUGUAAUUACCUCAGGCCAUCUUCAGUCCUUCUUCAUAGACCUGGCAGCUCUGUGACCUGGAGGUGAAACACUCGGAAUGAACAAACGGAGUGAGUGGGGCACCAGUUUCCCUUGGGAACGCAUUUGCUAGCUUCCACCAGCCCCCACUGCAAUUGUCACCAGUACCGCGGCCCAGAGCAGGGCUUUUCUGUGUCGCUAUAGCAGCCUCCCCAUGUUUCCACCAAGGUAUUUGAUAAACAUCUUGAUUUAUUUUUUAUGACUUUUAUUUAUUUACUUAUGACUUUAUUCGUCACAUGGAAUUUAGAGUAAGUUGUCCUCUGACCUUCAC